CAGCCGCCGCGGGAAUACGAAGGGGGCUAGCGUUGCUCGGAAUUACUGGGCGUAAAGGGCGCGUAGGCGGCGCUCCAAGUUAGGCGUGAAAUUCCCGGGCUCAACCUGGGGACUGCGCUUAAGACUGGAGUGCUUGAGGAUGGAAGAGGGUUGUGGAAUUCCCAGUGUAGAGGUGAAAUUCGUAGAUAUUGGGAAGAACACCGGUGGCGAAGGCGGCAACCUGGUCCAUUACUGACGCUGAGGCGCGAUAGCGUGGGGAGCAAACAGGAUUAGAUACCCCAGUAGUCCCUGUCUCUUAUAA
rnacentral:rRNA from 1 species